AUAAAAAGUUCGAAUUUGAAAAAGUAUAAUUAAAAAACAUAAAUUUUUGCCACUUAAUGAAGAAGAUAUUUUUGAAAAUAUCCUUUUAGCGGUGGUAAAGAUGAAAAGUGGUACCAUGAAAGUGGUAAACAUGAAAUUUUCCCUAAAUUUUAUUAAAUAUCUUAUUAAAUUUAUUUUUAAAAAAAUCUAAAAAUAAAAGUAUCAUUCUUGUUUUUCAGAAAACUAAAAAACAAAAUAUCAUUAUUUUUAACUUGUAUUUGCAGUUUUUGUUUUAAAAUAAUUUUAUAAAAUAAGAUUAUUUGUGUUUUGAUAAUAGUAUUCUAUAGAUUUAUGGGGAAAUUUCAUGUUUACCACUUUCAUGGUACCAUUAUUCAUUUUUCCCACCAUUAAAUGAACAUUUUCAAAAAUACAUUUUUUAUUAAGUGACAAAAGACUCUUAUAC
rnacentral:lncRNA from 1 species